rnacentral:rRNA from 18 species
AAGUAGAUAAGGGCGUGUGGGGAAUGCCUAGGCUCUCAGAGACGAUGAAGGACGUGAUAAGCUGCGAUAAGCUGCGGGGAUUAGCACAUAUGAAUUAAUCCGCAGAUUUCCGAAUGGGACAACCCGGCCAGUUGAAGACUGGUCAUCCCGCCUCGGCGGGAAGUUAACCCAGGGAACUGAAACAUCUAAGUACCUGGAGGAAAGGAAAGCAACAUGCGACUCCGUAAGUAGCGGCGAGCGAAAGCGGAUAGAUGUGAGCUCUGUGAACACGUUGGAAUGCGUGACCAAAGACGGUGAAAGUCCGGUAGCAGAAGGUAGCAUCAUAGCCCUCGAGUAGGCUCGGGCUCGUGGAACCCGGGUUGAACAUGGGAGGUCCACCUUCCAAGGCUAAGUACUCCUUGACGACCGAUAGCGAAAAAGUAAAGUGAUUGAACGUUUAAAAGUACCCCUAUUAGGGGGGUGAAAUAGACCUGAAACCGUGUGCCUACAAGCGGUCGGAGCCCUACGGGGUGACGGCGUGCUUUUUGCAUAAUGAGCCCGCGAGUUAGUCUCAGUGGCGAGCUUAAGGCCUAACGGGCCGGAGGCGGAGCGAAAGCGAGUCUGAAUAGGGCGUAUAGUCGC